GACGAACGCUGGCGGCGUGCCUAAUACAUGCAAGUAGAACGCUGAAGCGAGGAGCUUGCUCUUCUUGGAUGAGUUGCGAACGGGUGAGUAACGCGUAGGUAACCUGCCUUGUAGCGGGGGAUAACUAUUGGAAACGAUAGCUAAUACCGCAUAACAAUGGAUGACACAUGUCAUUUAUUUGAAAGUGGCAAUUGCUCCACUACAAGAUGGACCUGCGUUGUAUUAGCUAGUAGGUGAGGUAAUGGCUCACCUAGGCGACGAUACAUAGCCGACCUGAGAGGGUGAUCAGCCACACUGGGACUGAGACACGGCACAGACGCAUACGGGAGGGAGCAGUAGGGAAACUUGGGCAAUGGGGGCAACCCAGACCGAGAAACGCCGCGUGAGUGAAGAAGGUUUUCGGAUCGUAAAGCACGGUUGUAAGUCAAGAACGGGUGUGAGAGUGGAAAGUUCACACUGUGACGGUAGCGUACCAGAAAGGGACGGCUAACUACGUG
rnacentral:rRNA from 1 species